AGAGGCGGUAGCAUAAAUUAAUGCGCUUUAUUGAAAAUGAAGAGAAUGAUGAUAGUAUCCUGUCUCUU
rnacentral:tRNA from 1 species